UUGAUCAUGGCUCAGAUUGAACGCUGGCGGCAGGCCUAACACAUGCAAGUCGAGCGGUAGAGAGAAGCUUGCUUCUCUUGAGAGCGGCGGACGGGUGAGUAAUGCCUAGGAAUCUGCCUGGUAGUGGGGGAUAACGUUCGGAAACGGACGCUAAUACCGCAUACGUCCUACGGGAGAAAGCAGGGGACCUUCGGGCCUUGCGCUAUCAGAUGAGCCUAGGUCGGAUUAGCUAGUUGGUGGGGUAAUGGCUCACCAAGGCGACGAUCCGUAACUGGUCUGAGAGGAUGAUCAGUCACACUGGAACUGAGACACGGUCCAGACUCCUACGGGAGGCAGCAGUGGGGAAUAUUGGACAAUGGGCGAAAGCCUGAUCCAGCCAUGCCGCGUGUGUGAAGAAGGUCUUCGGAUUGUAAAGCACUUUAAGUUGGGAGGAAGGGCAGUAAAUUAAUACUUUGCUGUCUUGACGUUACCGACAGAAUAAGCACCGGCUAACUCUGUGCCAGCAGCCGCGGUAAU
rnacentral:rRNA from 1 species